rnacentral:rRNA from 1 species
AGUGAACGCUGGCGGCGUGCUUAACACAUGCAAGUCGAACGAGAACGGAAUAUAGCUUGCUAUAUUUGUCAGCUAAGUGGCGCACGGGUGAGUAAUAUAUAGAUAACCUGCCCUCAAGAAAGGAAUAACAGUUGGAAACGACUGCUAAUGCCCUAUAUGCCUUUAAUACAUAAGUAUGCAAGGGAAACGCUUUAGUGCUUAAGGAUGGGUCUGUAUGGUAUCAGCUUGUUGGUGAGGUAAUGGCUCACCAAGGCUAUGACGCCUAACUGGUUUGAGAGGAUGAUCAGUCACACUGGAACUGAGACACGGUCCAGACUCCUACGGGAGGCAGCAGUAGGGAAUAUUGCACAAUGGACGAAAGUCUGAUGCAGCAACGCCGCGUGGAGGAUGACACAUUUCGGUGCGUAAACUCCUUUUAUAUAGGAAGAUAAUGACGGUACUAUAUGAAUAAGCACCGGCUAACUCCGUGCCAGCAGCCGCCGUAA